CGACUUGACGUCUCUCUCCUACUUUCCCAUCCGUCCUUGGCACCCUGUGAACGUGGAAUCCGCCAUUGGAGUUCGAGAGAGGUGAGGAGCAACGGAACGGAAAUCACGGGGAAUAAAGUGGGGGCUAUAAUGGCAAGUGCCGGCACUGGGAAGGGGCCAGUUGGAACGGGGGCUAGUUGAAGAACCCUUCGCUCUCUCUUUCUCUCUCUCACACUCUCACUACCACUUCACUGUCACACAUACUCUCUUCUUGGCGAGAGACCAGAGAACAAAGCGCGGGCGAAGAGAAGAGGAAAUAGUACGUAGAGAGAGAUGCAGAGGCGCAGGCAAAGCGCU
rnacentral:lncRNA from 1 species